AUUGAACGCUGGCGGCAGGCCUAACACAUGCAAGUCGAACGGUAACAGGAAACAGCUUGCUGUUUCGCUGACGAGUGGCGGACGGGUGAGUAAUGUCUGGGAAACUGCCUGAUGGAGGGGGAUAACUACUGGAGACGGUAGCUAAUACCGCAUAACGUCGCAAGACCAAAGAGGGGGACCUUCGGGCCUCUUGCCAUCGGAUGUGCCCAGAUGGGAUUAGCUAGUAGGGGGGGUAACGGCUCACCUAGGCGACGAUCCCUAGCUGGGCUGAGAGGAUGACCAGCCACACUGGAACUGAGACACGGUCCAGACUCCUACGGGAGGCAGCAGUGGGGAAUAUUGCACAAUGGGCGCAAGCCUGAUGCAGCCAUGUCGCGUGUAUGAAGAAGGCCUUCGGGUUGUAAAGUACUUUCAGCGGGGAGGAAGGGAGUAAAGUUAAUACCUUUGCUCAUUGACGUUACCCGCAGAAGAAGCACCGGCUAACUCCGUGCCAGCCGCCGCAGUAA
rnacentral:rRNA from 1 species